GUCCACGCCGUAAACGAUGGAUGCUAGCUGUUAGGAGUAUCGACCCUCCUAGUAGCGUAGCUAACGCGUUAAGCAUCCCGCCUGUGGAGUACGGUCGCAAGACUAAAACAUAAAGGAAUUGACGGGGACCCGCACAAGCGGUGGAGCGUGUUGUUUAAUUCGAUGGUAAGCGAAGAACCUUACCCAGGCUUGACAUCCUGCUAAUCACUCCGAAAGGAGAGAGUGCCUUCGGGCCGCAGUGACAGGUGUUGCAUGGCCGUCGU
rnacentral:rRNA from 1 species